rfam:Triticum urartu cultivar G1812 contig70287, whole genome shotgun sequence.
GCUGGAAUAGGCUAAUUGGUUAAACCAUUCCAUUCAUACUGGUUGAUUGAGGGUUCAAGUCCCUCUUCCAGCU